UAGGGCAACAGUGACGCUUCCACUGUCUCGAUCCAUCUUUGGUGUUGAAAUCAGCCGCACCAAGUAUCAGUGGUCAGAUUGCAGGGGUUCACCUAAGAUACCGAGUCUACUUGGAUCUGGUUUUAGAAUGAAGGCACAGUGCAGUCUCCUGAUUUAUAUAGACUGCAUGCAGUGGGAGGAGUUUUGGGAGAAGAGUAAUCUAGGACAAAGUCAGCUGUUACAAAUGCUACAUCCUGACAGGAAAUCGCGUCUCUCAGCCUCUUUGCAUUGACUUUGUAUGUGAUAGCGCCGCCCCCAGAACAGUGAAAGACUCUUGUCCAACAUGUAACACAAUGCUCUGCACUGAACCAGUAACAUGUAGCCUAAUUUCUCACUUGGCAAACUGAUUGCAGCUCUUAACUUAUCACUUUUGUUUAUGCCUCAAAAUGACUUGAAGUUUCAAAGACAAGAUAUCAUCAAACCGACUUAGCUCAUAACCAUGAAGACAGACAAAAACCUGCUUUUUAAAGACUAAUACAGGUGUCCUAGAUUACAAAGUGACUACAAAGGAAUUUUUGUUUUGGCACAAAGAACAUUAAUAGAUGUGGUAGGCUAUGUCUCCUCUUGAUAAUAUCUAAGAGACUCAUAUUGAAUCAUUAAGUCACGUGUAGGCCAUUCCACUUUCUGUUGCCAUGCGUCUGCAUUAAGUCUGGGUUUUAACCAGCAGUCAGUGACCGACAUUCAGCAAAGGGAUGGCUGGAGCAGUAUUCUGCUGUUAAGAAGGAGCUAGGCCUAAACUGUGGCCUAUUUAGAGAAAAUGUAUACCUUAAAGUUUCAAUUCGGCUGUGACCUUUCUUUGCUCCGUAAGAGGGAAGAAUUUAGAAAGUUGCGUGGCGCUGCGGACAGCCCCCAGCUGCAGUAGUGCAUGGAUGAUGUGUAAUUUUCAUCCAGCCAGAGGGAACGAUCCCGAACUCUUCACAGCCUGUCGGUACCGGAGAGGGAAUGGGGCCGACAUUGACAGGAGAUCGUGGAGUGACUGGAACAAGAAUCACAGCCUUCAAAGUCUCUCUAUAAAAAAGAAAAGAUCAGACACCACCAGGAAGUGCACUGCAGGUAUGGAAGAUCAGAGAGGAACACCAUCACCACGCAAAACAAACCAAGACUACUACUAUUAUUAAUGUUCCUAAUAUUGUUAUGUUUUGUAAAUGGACCUGGUCUGAGUAACAAAGCUGCUGAAUUUAAAAGUAUGAUUUAUAAUUGCUUUCCCACACAAAUUGUGUGUGUGUAUACUGAAACCCUAAAUGGAAAAAAGGAAGCUGCUCAAAUGAAUUGACUUAAAUUAGAGAUCAGCAGCCAUGUCAUGUAUCAAAAUAAACUACCGUAUUACUAAAAAUACUUUCCCAAGGUACCAUAAAAUCACUUUGUGAACCUAUCUAUCAAUCGGCCUAUUUGACUUCACCAGUACACUAAGUAUACUCAGUUAAUUAAAAGCAGCUUUUCUCUGCCUAAUGAGUCAUGUGAUAAAUCUAAUAUAUGCAACCAGUUAACAGAUACAAUAUUGAAAUAUCCCUGUGAUCACCCAGAUGAAAUUUUAGAACCAGUAACAGUUUGCUUAUGACACAGACUGUAUCCUAAUUUAGUUACUUUGUGUUUGGUAAUGGGCAUUAUAAAAUAAUAUAGCCUAUACAACAGUGCCAAUGAUGUCUGCUUUUGGCUGCUGAGCUUGGUAAAAGCAGCUAACUGGAGAAGGAGGCUUGUGGACACGCGACAGUGUAUUCCAGAAAAACGAGAACUGUGGUCUGUCUGAAUUUAGCACUGGGUGGAGAACGAAGUGCGAGUUUGUUGGUUGGUGAGUCGAUUAAGAGGUGGUGUGGGAUAGCAUCGGCCGACGGCCUGUAUAGGUCCGGUAGCGGUGCUAUUUCACAGCUUCUGGUUGCUCAUUAAACCAAUAAUCUGGAUAGGGAUGGCAGGGAGACAGGUGGAUGGUAUGGAUUACAGUGAGGCAGAGGGAAAUGGUAGUGAUGAGAGGAGGGAAAGUGAUUGGGAGGAAGUAGGGA